rnacentral:rRNA from 1 species
CCUACGGGGAGCAGCAGUGAGGAAUAUUGGUCAAUGGGCGGGAGCCUGAACCAGCCAAGUCGCGUGAGGGAAGACGGUCCUAUGGAUUGUAAACCUCUUUAGGCGGGGAGCAAUGCCGGGCACGCGUGCACGGAGGGAGAGUACCCGCAGAAUAAGCAUCGGCUAACUCCGUGCCAGCAGCAGCGGUAAUACGGAGGAUGCGAGCGUUAUCCGGAUUUAUUGGGUUUAAAGGGAGCGUAGGCCGCAUGUCAAGCGUGCUGUGAAAUGUCCGGGCUCAACCCGGGCCUUGCAGCGCGAACUGGCGUGCUUGAGUCCGCGGAAAGCAGGCGGAAUUCGUCGUGUAGCUGUGAAAUGCUUAGAUAUGACGAAGAACCCCGAUUGCGAAGGCAGCUUGCUGCAGCGGAACUGACGCUGAUGCUCGAAAGCGCGGGUAUCGAACAGGAUUAGAUACCCCGGUAGUC